rnacentral:rRNA from 1 species
GACGAACGCUGGUGGCGUGCCUAAUACAUGCAAGUAGAACGCUGAAGGAGGAGCUUGCUCUUCUGGAUGAGUUGCGAACGGGUGAGUAACGCGUAGGUAACCUGCCUGGUAGCGGGGGAUAACUAUUGGAAACGAUAGCUAAUACCGCAUAACAGUAGAUGUUGCAUGACAUUUGCUUAAAAGGUGCAAUUGCAUCACUACCAGAUGGACCUGCGUUGUAUUAGCUAGUUGGUGGGGUAACGGCUCACCAAGGCGACGAUACAUAGCCGACCUGAGAGGGUGAUCGGCCACACUGGGACUGAGACACGGCCCAGACUCCUACGGGAGGCAGCAGUAGGGAAUCUUCGGCAAUGGACGGAAGUCUGACCGAGCAACGCCGCGUGAGUGAAGAAGGUUUUCGGAUCGUAAAGCUCUGUUGUAAGAGAAGAACGAGUGUGAGAGUGGAAAGUUCACACUGUGACGGUAUCUUACCAGAAAGGGACGGCUAACUACGUG